CACAAAUAAUAUUUGAUGAUAAAUUUUAGUAUUUUAAAAUGUAACAUGCCUAGUGAUAUUUUUGUGAUCAUAUCACUUCAUAUAUGAAGGCUUUUAUAGGCACUAUAGAAAUAGAAAGUACACCAUUUGAGAAAUAUUUUACAUGAAUUUUCUACCAUUACUUUUCAAUGAGAUAAAGACUUAGUUGUUUUUGUUGAAUUUCCAAAAUGACCUUGGAGGUAAUCCAUAACCAAAAGUCCUUCCAAAUGUUACUAAAUU
rnacentral:lncRNA from 1 species